rnacentral:lncRNA from 1 species
UAAUUUGCAACACGGUUUCUGAGAGUGACACAGCCUAGGAGCAUGCUCGUGCUGAGAAGCAUGGAUCAAAUCCAAGAUGUGUUGAAGAAGGCCAAAAUGUACACUUUUAUAUCAACAGGGCAUGGAUUCAGGCCAUGCUCGUCAGCACGGCUCAAAUCCAGGCCAUGUUGGAUCUUGAAAUCUAAGUUAAAAGAAAAGAAAAAGAAAGAGAG